GACGAACGCUGGCGGCGUGCUUAACACAUGCAAGUCGAGCGGUAAGGCCCUUCGGGGUACACGAGCGGCGAACGGGUGAGUAACACGUGGGUGACCUGCCUCUAGCUCUGGGAUAAGCCUGGGAAACUGGGUCUAAUACCGGAUAUGACUCCACGGCGCAUGUUGUGGGGUGGAAAGCCUUGUGCGGCUGGAGAUGGGCCCGCGGCCUAUCAGCUUGUUGGUGGGGUGAUGGCCUACCAAGGCGACGACGGGUAGCCGGCCUGAGAGGGC
rnacentral:rRNA from 1 species